rnacentral:lncRNA from 1 species
GGCCCCGGCGCCGGGGGCGCAGGAAACGCGUCAUCACUCGGGGACGGCGCGCUGCGGUGGGCUCGGCGCCGCUCGGCUCGUGGGCCGGCUAGGCUGCAGCUCUGGGGUCCCCGGGGGAGGGGAUGUGAGACGGCGCGGCGCGAUCUGAAGGUUACCACGGGGGCAAGGAGCCUCGGAAGGCGCGUUCCGUGGGAUCCAGUUUUUAAAUACAGGCGGAAAGACUGGACGAACAAGGCCAUCAUGCUGGCUCCGUCUCAGUGUUCGAACAGUCAGGAUGGACUUCAAGAAAGCACAUUUCUUGAGUUACUCAGACUUACCGUAUUUCUUGAAGCACGAAACUGCUGCACUGUAAAUCUAAGAAAGGAAAUUGGUCGUACAGACUCAGGAAAUGAUCAUCAUCAAUACCCAACACAGGACAUGCUUGAGAUUAAUUUUUGUUCGCAUGUAGUGUAUGAAACACACUGCAGAUGGUUCUCUAAUGUGUCUGGAACAACAUACCAUCUAGAAGACUACAAGAUCUUAGACAUUUGCCGUGAUUUAUAGAAACACAGCCCUUUGAAGCAAUUGGACAAUGAGCUGCAGACUUGGGGCGCAUUUCAAUAAUUCAAACAUCGUCUGAUACCUCGCAGUUCCAAGAGAAAUGUACAGCUGCCAAGCCCAGAGAACUUCCUGCUGGAAUUCUGCCAGAGAAUAGAAUAGCUCGCUGUGUCGGGGAGGUCCAUCCUUGGGAGGGUUUGCUGUUUGUAAAUUUAAUAAACGACUCACAUCUGCUUAUAAUAUUAUGGAAGUCUAUGCAAAAAGGACUUCUUCCAUAAAAACCCA